rnacentral:lncRNA from 1 species
ACCCAGUUUGGUUGCUUAGCUCAUCAAAAUGCAUUCACUUUUAUCCCAAAUAAGAACAAGGCUGUGUCUAGGGCUCUGCGUGGGGCCUGACUCUGCAACCAUUACUUGGUCCCACUGUUGUCAGCCCGUCGUGGUAUGGGUUUGUGUGUGCGCUUGUGGUCAGAGAAGAAAGGAGCGUAAACUCAAAUGUCUUCUAAAUGUGCUUAGUCGCACCACUGACUAAGGGAAAGCUUAGAAAGACUUCCUGACUUAGAAUUUGAAUAUGUUUUGGUCAGUAAUUCGUAGGAAAAUGCUGGUUCAUCAGAAAUUAAAAGUGUAAAAUUGUAAUAAUUCAUGUUACCUGAAGAUCUGUUUUGCAGUUGUUUUGGCCAUGGGUGUUACAGUUAUCACCUUCUUUCCAUGUCAAUAAGGUCACUCAUUCAUUUAAUAGCUUGGCUUAAUUUUGUUUGGUUAUUACUACAGGCCUCUUGUCUUCCCUGAGUGAGAAGAUGCAGGGACAACAACUGAGGAGCUGCGUGGACAUGAAGGUGACCACAGAGAUGGUCCUACUGACCCCUGGGUGCUCUUCAGAGAGGCAAAACAGAAGGGAUAUGCUGAGUGGGAGCCACCCCGAAACCCCGGUCCCUCCAGCCUGGCUUCCAGGCUUUGGCGCUUCCUCUGCACCCACCUCUGGAGCUGUACCUGAGCUAUCGCAUAAGACAUCAUGCAUUGCUGCAUUAGACCUGGGAAGCUGGG